rfam:Komagataeibacter medellinensis NBRC 3288 DNA, complete genome.
GGAGAUCGGUUGUAGACGGAUACCUUGCUAACCUGGUCAGGUCCGGAAGGAAGCAGCCGUAGUAAGUUUCGUCCGGGUUAUGGCCGGUCUUCCAC